GUAACACGUAGUCAACCUGCCCUGGAGACAUGGAAAACCCCGGGAAACUGGGAUUAAUGCGGGAUAGGUCACCUCAUCUGGAAGGAGAGAUGGCUUAAAGGGGUGCGAGAGCUUCUUUCUUGCAUUCGCUCCAGGAUGGGACUGCGGCCGAUCAGGCUGUUGGCGGUGUAAUGGACCACCAAACCUGUAACCGGUACGGGCCUUGAGAGAGGGGGCCCGGAGAUGGACACUGAGAGAAGGGUCCAGGUCCUACGGGGCGCAGCAGGCGCGAAACCUUCGCAAUGCGCGAAAGCGUGACGAGGUUAAUCCGAGUGGUCCCCGCUGAGGGGAUCUUUUGUUGGCUGUAAAAAGGCCGAUGAAUAAGGGGAGGGCAAGUCUGGUGUCAGCCGCCGCGGUAAUACCAGCUCCUCGAGUGGUCGGGGCGAUUAUUGGGCCUAAAGCAUCCGUAGCCGGUUCUGUAGGUCCUCUGUCAAAUCCAACGGCUUAACCGUUGGCCCGCAGAGGAUACCGCAGGACU
rnacentral:rRNA from 1 species